rnacentral:rRNA from 1 species
GAGUUUGAUCCUGGCUCAGAGCGAACGCUGGCGGCAUGCUUAACACAUGCAAGUCUCACGGGCAGCAAUGUCAGUGGCGGACGGGUGAGUAACGCGUAGGAAUUUAUCCACGGGUGGGGGAUAACGUCGGGAAACUGACGCUAAUACCGUAUGAUGCCUGAGGGCCAAAGGCGCGAGUCGCCUGUGGAGGAGCCUGCGUACGAUUAGCUAGUUGGUGGGGUAACUGCCUACCAAGGCGACGAUCGUUAGCUGGUCUGAGAGGAUGAUCAGCCACACUGGGACUGAGACACGGCCCAGACUCCUACGGGAGGCAGCAGUGGGGAAUAUUGGACAAUGGGCGAAAGCCUGAUCCAGCAAUGCCGCGUGUGUGAAGAAGGUCUUCGGAUUGUAAAGCACUUUCGGCGGGGACGAUGAUGACGGUACCCGCAGAAGAAGCCCCGGCUAACUUCGUACCAGCAGCCGCGGUAAUACG